rnacentral:lncRNA from 1 species
AGAACUAUAAGACCAAGAAUAGUUGGGAAAGGGUUUCAUGGAGGAGAUAGGAAUAGGGAUAAUUUACAAAGGGAGAAUAUUGAAGAAAUAACUUUCUAAGUAGAAAGGAAAAAAGACAAGAAAGGAUGCAGAUGUUUGGCUUGUUUGUGGCAUGGAAGGAAGGCUUGUUUUAGAAAAUAGUGGGGAGUAGAUUUAGGUUUGUAGUAUUGGGUCAACUCAUAGAUGCCCUCAAAAGCUAGGAAGAAAACAUUUGGAAGUUGAGUAGAAGUAACUUCUGUUUCCUGGAGCGUGGAGAUUAUUGGCUCAGGCAUUCCCGACAAAAGUCAAGAAAAAGUUUUUAAGAGUGACAACCCCAGUACACCACCAUGGAAUUUCAGCAGAGGCAAAGAAAAAAAAAUUGCCACCAGUGCUGGCCACCUUCUAGAGCUGCUGACUUGGAGGAAGCAAACUAAAGUGCAGAGGACCUCAACAGAGCCUGGAUGGGGUAGAGGUUAUUUAACAGCAUUUCAGAAGAGAGAAGAGACUUGAGUUCUUGGU